rnacentral:rRNA from 1 species
AACGCUGGCGGCGUGCUUAACACAUGCAAGUCGAACGAUGAUCUCCAGCUUGCUGGGGGGAUUAGUGGCGAACGGGUGAGUAACACGUGAGUAACCUGCCCUUGACUCUGGGAUAAGCCUGGGAAACCGGGUCUAAUACUGGAUACGACCUUCUGGCGCAUGCCAUGUUGGUGGAAAGCUUUUGUGGUUUUGGAUGGACUCGCGGCCUAUCAGCUUGUUGGUGGGGUAAUGGCCUACCAAGGCGACGACGGGUAGCCGGCCUGAGAGGGUGACCGGCCACACUGGGACUGAGACACGGCCCAGACUCCUACGGGAGGCAGCAGUGGGGAAUAUUGCACAAUGGGCGCAAGCCUGAUGCAGCGACGCCGCGUGAGGGAUGAAGGCCUUCGGGUUGUAAACCUCUUUCAGUAGGGAAGAAGCCGCUCCUUUUUGGGGGUGGUGACGG